CCCGAGGGGUUUUGGGGGGCUCUGCCUCGCCCUGCUCUGCUUUGGGGUCGCUCUCGGCUUCCAAGAAGAGGAGUCAGGGAACGGGAAUGUCACCGAGGAGGGGACACGAGAGCCCCCGGAGCCACCAGGACACCCCAGCACAGCCACCGGGGACGGGGACACGGUGACAACGUGGCCAAGGGUCACCACGAGGCCUCCUGGGAGCGGGGAGCUGGCGGUGACACCGGCGGUGACACUGGCGGGGAACCAAACGCGAACGUCCUCGGGUGUCCCAGCCCGCUACUGGUCCCCCGUCAUCUUCGUGGUGCUGGCCCUGCUCGUGCUCUUUGUCACCUACCACAGGACCAAGGACAGAGGGAUCCGGGACCAGGUCGUGAGCGGCAGCGACUCCUCAGAUUUGGGAGCUCUGGUCCAGCCCCAAGCCCACGACCCCGUCCCAAAAAUCCCGACCCCAGAGAGGGACAGGAAGGAUCCUGGGACGCCCCCAGGCCCGGAGCUCUCCGAGACAUCCUUCGGGCAGCCGGACCCUGCCGGAGCCCCGGGAUUCCCGGGAAAAAGGAAUUCAGUCACCAGCCAGACAGACCCCACAACGUGACCAAAACACGGCAAAUCCCCAGCCCCAAAAUC